UCACGUGUUUCAAACAGAGCUUCUACGUUUGCCGGUCGUUAUGCGUUGGUUUGUAUUUAUGCCAAUGCAACCAAGAGACUGUGCUAAGGGCUCCUCUUGUGUAGUUUCCACCCCAAGCAGACAUCGGAAGUACUCAAGAUUUCAUCAGGCAACCUGUCAGCGUGAGCCUUCUGGCCGAAUGUUGCUGUCUUAGAGUUGAAAAUUACUAAGAGACUGGUGUGCAGAGGACAGCAGAAGGUGACUGACAGUCGGCUGGCGAACAAGUGGUUGGUGAGGCAGUGAGCAGAACAAGCGGCUGGCGAGGCAGUGAGAACAAGCGGCUGGCAGGACGGCCAGUGCAGAGGAACCAUGGCUGAUGGGGCGGCCAGCCAAAGCAAGUGCUCAGAUGGUGAAGCAAGCAAGGUGCCUUCUUCCCCAGGUGGGAGGUGAACUCACACAGAUGCACCUCUGAACCCUGGGUCUUCUCUGACCAAGGACAACCACUGUGAGUGGGGUAUGGUAAGGGAGCAGAGAGUGGCACAGAAAAGGAACUUUUGGUCGUAGAACUCAAGAACAUGAGGCGGAAAGCACUGCCCCACACACGCUGGGAUGGGUAUCCUGCUCACAGUUUUAUGAUUAUGAAUCCCGCUUGUGGCAUUUUCCCUAAUUAAUGUUGGGUGACUUCCCUCCUUUCAUUAACA